rnacentral:rRNA from 1 species
ACAUCCAGAGAAUUUAGCAGAGAUGCUUUAGUGCCUUCGGGAACUCUGAGACAGGUGCUGCAUGGCUGUCGUCAGCUCGUGUUGUGAAAUGUUGGGUUAAGUCCCGCAACGAGCGCAACCCUUAUCCUUUGUUGCCAGCACGUAAUGGUGGGAACUCAAAGGAGACUGCCGGUGAUAAACCGGAGGAAGGUGGGGAUGACGUCAAGUCAUCAUGGCCCUUACGAGUAGGGCUACACACGUGCUACAAUGGCGCAUACAAAGAGAAGCGACCUCGCGAGAGCAAGCGGACCUCAUAAAGUGCGUCGUAGUCCGGAUUGGAGUCUGCAACUCGACUCCAUGAGGUCGGAAUCGCUAGUAAUCGUAAAUCAGAAUGUUACGGUGAAUACGUUCCCGGGCCUUGUACACACCGCCCGUCACACCAUGGGAGUGGGUUGCAAAAGAAGUAGAUAGCUUAACCUUCGGGAGGGCGUUUACCACUUUGUGAUUCAUGACUGGGGUGAAGUCGUAACAAGGUAAGCGUAGUGCU